rnacentral:rRNA from 1 species
CCGCAAGGUUGAAACUCAAAGGAAUUGACGGGGACCCGCACAAGCGGUGGGGCAUGUGGUUUAAUUCGAAGCAACGCGAAGAACCUUACCAAAUCUUGACAUCCUUUGACAACUCUAGGGAUAGAGCUUUCCCCUUCGGGGGACAAAGUGACAGGUGGUGCAUGGUUGUCGUCAGCUCGUGUCGUGAGAUGUUGGGUUAAGUCCCGCAACGAGCGCAACCCUUAAGCUUAGUUGCCAUCAUUAAGU